rnacentral:rRNA from 3 species
AAAUUGAAGAGUUUGAUCAUGGCUCAGAUUGAACGCUGGCGGCAGGCCUAACACAUGCAAGUCGAACGGUAACAGGAAGCAGCUUGCUGCUUCGCUGACGAGUGGCGGACGGGUGAGUAAUGUCUGGGAAACUGCCUGAUGGAGGGGGAUAACUACUGGAAACGGUGGCUAAUACCGCAUAACGUCGCAAGACCAAAGAGGGGGACCUUCGGGCCUCUUGCCAUCAGAUGUGCCCAGAUGGGAUUAGCUAGUUGGUGAGGUAACGGCUCACCAAGGCGACGAUCCCUAGCUGGUCUGAGAGGAUGACCAGCCACACUGGAACUGAGACACGGUCCAGACUCCUACGGGAGGCAGCAGUGGGGAAUAUUGCACAAUGGGCGCAAGCCUGAUGCAGCCAUGCCGCGUGUAUGAAGAAGGCCUUCGGGUUGUAAAGUACUUUCAGCGGGGAGGAAGGUGUUGUGGUUAAUAACCGCAGCAAUUGACGUUACCCGCAGAAGAAGCACCGGCUAACUCCGUGCCAGCAGCCGCGGUAAUACGGAGGGUGCAAGCGUUAAUCGGAAUUACUGGGCGUAAAGCGCACGCAGGCGGUCUGUCAAGUCGGAUGUGAAAUCCCCGGGCUCAACCUGGGAACUGCAUUCGAAACUGGCAGGCUUGAGUCUUGUAGAGGGGGGUAGAAUUCCAGGUGUAGCGGUGAAAUGCGUAGAGAUCUGGAGGAAUACCGGUGGCGAAGGCGGCCCCCUGGACAAAGACUGACGCUCAGGUGCGAAAGCGUGGGGAGCAAACAGGAUUAGAUACCCUGGUAGUCCACGCCGUAAACGAUGUCUACUUGGAGGUUGUGCCCUUGAGGCGUGGCUUCCGGAGCUAACGCGUUAAGUAGACCGCCUGGGGAGUACGGCCGCAAGGUUAAAACUCAAAUGAAUUGACGGGGGCCCGCACAAGCGGUGGAGCAUGUGGUUUAAUUCGAUGCAACGCGAAGAACCUUACCUGGUCUUGACAUCCACAGAACUUUCCAGAGAUGGAUUGGUGCCUUCGGGAACUGUGAGACAGGUGCUGCAUGGCUGUCGUCAGCUCGUGUUGUGAAAUGUUGGGUUAAGUCCCGCAACGAGCGCAACCCUUAUCCUUUGUUGCCAGCGGUUAGGCCGGGAACUCAAAGGAAACUGCCAGUGAUAAACUGGAGGAAGGUGGGGAUGACGUCAAGUCAUCAUGGCCCUUACGACCAGGGCUACACACGUGCUACAAUGGCGCAUACAAAGAGAAGCGACCUCGCGAGAGCAAGCGGACCUCAUAAAGUGCGUCGUAGUCCGGAUUGGAGUCUGCAACUCGACUCCAUGAAGUCGGAAUCGCUAGUAAUCGUGGAUCAGAAUGCCACGGUGAAUACGUUCCCGGGCCUUGUACACACCGCCCGUCACACCAUGGGAGUGGGUUGCAAAAGAAGUAGGUAGCUUAACCUUCGGGAGGGCGCUUACCACUUUGUGAUUCAUGACUGGGGUGAAGUCGUAACAAGGUAACCGUAGGGGAACCUGCGGUUGGAUCACCUCCUUA